rnacentral:rRNA from 1 species
GAUGAACGCUGGCGGCGUGCCUAAUACAUGCAAGUCGAGCGAACGGACGAGAAGCUUGCUUCUCUGAUGUUAGCGGCGGACGGGUGAGUAACACGUGGAUAACCUACCUAUAAGACUGGGAUAACUUCGGGAAACCGUAGCUAAUACCGGAUAAUAUUUUGAACCGCAUGGUUCAAAAGUGAAAGACGGUCUUGCUGUCACUUAUAGAUGGAUCCGCGCUGCAUUAGCUAGUUGGUAAGGUAACGGCUUACCAAGGCAACGAUGCAUAGCCGACCUGAGAGGGUGAUCGGCCACACUGGAACUGAGACACGGUCCAGACUCCUACGGGAGGCAGCAGUAGGGAAUCUUCCGCAAUGGGCGAAAGCCUGACGGAGCAACGACGCGUGAGCGAUGAAGGUCUUCGGAUCGUAAAACUCUGUUAUUAGGGAAGAACAUAUGUGUAAGUAACUGUGCACAUCUUGACGGUACCUAAUCAGAAAGCCACGGCUAACUACGUG